CGUUUCCUCAGUCUUUUAAAUUGCCUUUACGAUGUGGCGGUGACUUUUCAUGCCGUGUCAUCAGUUUUCUCAAGUUGAUGACCAAACCAAAGCUACCUGCCUUAGGAAGAAUUGUAUUCACAUGAAGAUUUAUUUUUUAACAAGAAUCAGACACAGGCAAAAUUGUCUGUCAAGUCACAAUAGACCGGAGACAGUUCUAGCAGCAUUGGAUACAAGGAAGGAGCCAGGCUUGAGAGAAGCACAAGUUUAUUGCAAGUGACCUUUAUUCAUGCCAAACCAAUUUAGAGACAUCUGUUAACACAGUGUGGCAGAAAACCACAGUACAUAGAAAAGAAGCCAGGAGGACAUGAGGAAAA